rnacentral:lncRNA from 1 species
AUGGGGAUGUCUCUGGGAAUAAGGCCUCUUCUGUGCUCCCAGGAGCUCUCAGACUGUAGGAGAAAAAGGGUGCUUAUCCUUAAGUUAGAAGUCAUUCCUGGUCUCUGCUUUUCUGAACUGGACUCAGCAGCCCUCCAAGUACAAUUUUUAGAGACCAACUGGAAAGAGAAAGAACUGAAAGCUUCUAAGAAACAUCUGUCUUCAGAGGAAGGAGAGAGGAACUCCUGUCAGAGGCUUCUAUUCACCAAAAACCUCUCUGUUCUUGAUCAAUACCUGUUUGAUGCUGAUGCCAUUUAUCAUCAGGCGUAGUUUGAGUCUUCCUGCCUUCUGUUGUUUGGUGUUUAUUUUACCUGAGGACUGGAUUUAUUCUUAAUCAUUUCCCCUUUGGAAAUAUUGCUUAGAAAGCAAAAGGAACAUCUUGAUUCAAAUGGAAUUUAAUCUUCUGAGUUCUUCCCAGGCAAUACCUCCUCAUUACAGCUUGUUUCAUGCAGACUCUGGGAUGGCAGGUUGAACAAGUCAAAAGAGGUGGGUAGGCAUCUAAAAGGUAAAUGAUCCAAUUAUAACUGGUUUAUCCCAGAUAGCUCAAAGCCUUGGGAACAGAGACAAACUAGUCUAGUGGCACUUGCCUUGCUUCAGGAGAUCAACCAUGAGGAACAAAAUUGUCAAGGGAAAAAUAAAAGUUUUAGAAACAACA